rnacentral:rRNA from 1 species
UACGUAGGGUGCGAGCGUUAAUCGGAAUUAUUGGGCGUAAAGCGCGCGCAGGCGGUUUCUUAAGUCUGAUGUGAAAGCCCACGGCUCAACCGUGGAGGGUCAUUGGAAACUGGGGAACUUGAGUGCAGAAGAGAAAAGCGGAAUUCCACGUGUAGCGGUGAAAUGCGUAGAGAUGUGGAGGAACACCAGUGGCGAAGGCGGCUUUUUGGUCUGUAACUGACGCUGAGGCGCGAAAGCGUGGGGAGCAAACAGG